rnacentral:rRNA from 1 species
CCUACGGGGGGCUGCAGUGGGGAAUAUUGGACAAUGGGGGGAACCCUGAUCCAGCCAUGCCGCGUGUGUGAAGAAGGCCCUCGGGUUGUAAAGCACUUUCAGUGAGGAAGAACGCCUGGUGGUUAAUACCCAUCAGGAAAGACAUCACUCACAGAAGAAGCACCGGCUAACUCCGUGCCAGCAGCCGCGGUAAUACGGAGGGUGCGAGCGUUAAUCGGAAUUACUGGGCGUAAAGCGCGCGUAGGUGGCUUGAUAAGCCGGUUGUGAAAGCCCCGGGCUCAACCUGGGAACGGCAUCCGGAACUGUCAAGCUAGAGUGCAGGAGAGGAAGGUAGAAUUCCCGGUGUAGCGGUGAAAUGCGUAGAGAUCGGGAGGAAUACCAGUGGCGAAGGUGGCCUUCUGGACUGACACUGACACUGAGGUGCGAAAGCGUGGGUAGCAAACAGGAUUAGAUACCCUUGUAGUC